UGUCCAGGUGAAAGGAUGUAGGCAUGUAUCUUAGGCAAAUCCGGGGUACUCUAUGCUGAGAUCUGAUAGCAAGCUGUACUUGUACAGCGAAGUGGUUGAUGCCAUGCUUCCAGGUAAAGUCUCUAAGCUUCAGUUACACAGGAAUCGUACCCGAAACCGACACAGGUGGUCAGGUCGAGUAGACCAAGGCGCUUGAGAGAACUCUGCUGAAGGAACUAGGCAAAAUGGUACCGUAACUUCGGGAGAAGGUACGCUGUUGUUGGUGAUGGAACUCGCUUCCUGAGCUGACGACAGCCGCAGAAACCAGGCCGCUGCAACUGUUUAUUAAAAACAUAGCACUCUGCAAACACGAAAGUGGACGUAUAGGGUGUGAUGCCUGCCCGGUGCUGGAAGGUUAAUUGAUGGGGUUAGCGUAAGCGAAGCUCUUGAUCGAAGCCCCAGUAAACGGCGGCCGUAACGAUAACGGUCCUAAGGUAGCGAAAUUCCUUGUCGGGUAAGUUCCGACCUGCACGAAUGGCAUAAUGAUGGCGGCGCUGUCUCCAGCAGAGGCUCAGUGAAAUCGAAAUCGCUGUGAAGAUGCAGUGUACCCGCGGCUAGACGGAAAGACCCCGUGAACCUUUACUGCAGCUUGACACUGAACUUUGACCUUACUUGUGUAGGAUAGGUGGGAGGCUUUGAAGCUGGAACGCUAGUUCCAGUGGAGCCGUCCUUGAAAUACCACCCUGGUAAUGUUGAGGUUCUAACUCUGUCCCGUGAUCCGGGACGAGGACCGUGUCUGGUGGGUAGUUUGACUGGGGCGGUCCCCUCCUAAAGAGUAACGGAGGAGUACGAAGGUGCGCUCAGCGUGGUCGGAAAUCACGCGUAGAGUAUAAAGGCAAAAGCGCGCUUAACUGCGAGACCCACAAGUCGAGCAGGUACGAAAGUAGGUCUUAGUGAUCCGGUGGUUCUGUAUGGAAGGGCCAUCGCUCAACGGAUAAAAGGUACUCUGGGGAUAACAGGCUGAUACCGCCCAAGAGUUCAUAUCGACGGCGGUGUUUGGCACCUCGAUGUCGGCUCAUCUCAUCCUGGGGCUGGAGCAGGUCCCAAGGGUAUGGCUGUUCGCCAUUUAAAGAGGUACGCGAGCUGGGUUUAGAACGUCGUGAGACAGUUCGGUCCCUAUCUACCGUGGGCGCUGGAAAUUUGAGAGGAUCUGCUCCUAGUACGAGAGGACCAGAGUGGACGAACCUCUGGUGUACCGGUUGUGACGCCAGUCGCAUCGCCGGGUAGCUAUGUUCGGAAGGGAUAACCGCUGAAAGCAUCUAAGCGGGAAGCCUACCUCAAGAUAAGAUUUCCCUAGGACUUUAUGUCCUCUAAAGAGCCGUUCGAGACUAGGACGUUGAUAGGUUGGAUG
rnacentral:rRNA from 1 species